GAACGUGAUCCAUCCUUCGGGGUGGUGAAAGUGGCGCACGGGUGAGUAACGCGUGGAUAAUCUGCCCGAGGAUUUGGGAUAACAUCCCGAAAGGGGUGCUAAUACCGAAUAAGCCCACGGGGUCUACGGAUCUUGCGGGAAAAGGGGGGGACCUUCGGGCCUCCUGUCCUUGGAUGAGUCUGCGUACCAUUAGCUAGUUGGUGGGGUAAUGGCCUACCAAGGCGACGAUGGUUAGCUGGUCUGAGAGGAUGAUCAGCCACACUGGAACUGAGACACGGUCCAGACUCCUACGGGAGGCAGCAGUGGGGAAUUUUGCGCAAUGGGGGAAACCCUGACGCAGCAACGCCGCGUGGGUGAUGUAGGCCUUCGGGUCGUAAAGCUCUGUCUGGAGGGAAGAAAUGAUUGGGAGCUAAUACCUCCUGAUCUUGACGGUACCUCUGAAGGAAGCACCGGCUAACUCCGUGCCAGCAGCCGCGGUAAUACGGAGGGUGCAAGCGUUGUUCGGAAUUAUUGGGCGUAAAGCGCGUGUAGGCGGUCUUUUAAGUCUGAUGUGAAAGCCCCGGGCUCAACCUGGGAAGUGCAUUGGAAACUGGGAGGCUUGAGUACGGGAGAGGAGAGUGGAAUUCCUAGU
rnacentral:rRNA from 1 species